rnacentral:lncRNA from 1 species
GAACUUCUUAUGCUUAGGUCAUAAAGAAAGGGGCAUUGGUGCUUUUCAAAUCUCUAAGACAAGCUUACAGUGAUGCUGCUGGGCUCCUUGUAUGUGAUGAUUUAUGCAUGGACUCUGGGCAUGGCAUUCUCAUGGGACUGCUGGAAACAGAGAAGAAUCGUUUCCAAAUCUCUGGCUCUCCUGUCUAGCAGUUUGUUCCCAGCCUUCAGAACCUGUCUUGAAACCUGGGCAGGCACUCUGCCUCACUUGAGACAUCUAGGACUUCAGGUUUGAGACUUGGCCCUGAAUCUGAAGAAACAGUGGCAAGCUGAACUCCAACUGCGGCUCUGGGGUCCACAGAUUCUUCAAUACCAAAGGGCUUUUAUUUUUUAAAAGAUUAGCUCCCUGAC